CGCCCCCACCAGCCCGGCGCCCCCUCCAGCCCAGUGCCUCCCCAAGCCCGGUGCCUCCCACCAGCGUGACAAGCCAUGGGUCCCCCACUUCAAGGCCCACAUUUUUUUAUUAGCUGAGGUCGUGGUAGCUGUUGUACCACCUCACUAAGCGCGUCUUUUUCUGUAGUUUUGAUGCUGACGUCUUGCCCAUUCCUGUGCCCCGACCACCCAGCUGCGUGGAGCAGCCCCCACUCUCUGUGGAUAAAAGAACUUUCUUCCUACAAGACGGUCAUUCCUGCGUCUGUGUGUUACCCUCCCUGAUUACAACAAAUCCUAGGCUCAUUUUAAAAAGAUACAGGCCCCACAUUUAGGAGGCUGCAGCCCAAACCUCUGCAGCCAGCAUCCUAUGUCUUCGCUGCAGUUUAUGGCAAGACCCUGGAGACCUGGUGAGAGCACAGCCCUGGUGUCCUCCUCCGUGGCCCCCCUCAUCCCCCUCUGUCAGGUGUGUAGCCCCCACUCCAAGCGUGAUCUUCAGCCCCCGGCCCUGUCCCUCAGCAGCACAGGUGAUAAGCCCCUCCGUCCGGAAGCACUGUCUUUACUUGGCCACCAAGACCCCCAACUUGACCGCACCCCCACUUGCCAGCCAUCCCCUCUGCCCUGCCUGUGCUUCCUACCACUGUGCAGGCCCAGCUUGUGCCCCCCUUGGGGCUGAGCCCCGGCGGGCACCCAUGUCCUCCAGCUGUGAGCACUUUCCUCUAUGGUGUUUGCUCUUCCCUCUGGGACAUGGCCAUGGGGCCCCUCAGAAUGGCACAUAUUGGGCACCACGUGACUUCAGGUAGAAUGACUGAGGGACCAGCCCAGCACAGCCAGGCAGGGCAGCGAGAGGCCGGGCAGGACACCCUCCGACCACUCUGAGGACAGGGAUGGCUGCAGAGCCAAUGCAGGCUCACACGCAGGGACAGACAGCUGGAGGCUGAGCCCAGGCGCAGGACUUCAGAGCCACCAGCCACAACCACACCCAAGGCCAUGGGGUAGACAAGGGCAGUGUGGACUGAGCGGUCAGGGUCCCCAUGAGAUAAACAGGAACCACUCAGAAACACUUCUCUCCUGCCAGGAGCGGUGGCCUACGCCUGUAAUCCCGGCACUUUGGGAGGUAGAGGCAGGCAGAUCACUUGAGCCCAGGAGUUUGGGACCAGCCUGGGCGGCAUGGUGAAACCCUGCGUCUACUAAAAAUGAAAAUACAAAAAUUAGCUGGGCAUGGUGGCACGCGCCUGUAGUCUCAGCCACUCAGGAGGCUGAGAUGGGAGGAUUAGUUGAUCCCGGAAGAUCGAGGCUGCAGUCCCAGCCACUCAGGAGGCUGAGGUGGGAGGAUGACUUGAUCCCGGAAGAUCAAGGCUGCAGUCCCAGCCACUCAGGAGGCUGAGGUGGGAGGAUGACUUGAUCCUGGAAGAUGGAGGCUGCAGUGAGCUGACUGUGCCACUGAGUGACAGAGCAACAUCUUGUCUCAAAAAAAAAAAAAAAAAAAAGAGAAACCCUCCUGUCCAACCAAGGCGGGACUUCAGAGGCCGUAGGACACAUUCCCUGGGCUCCAGGGGGAGGUGCGACCACCACAGGCCCCAGAGGUUGUGAUCCUGACCUGGCCGGAGUCCCAACCAGCCUCAUCCCUCAAGGCAGGGUCAGCCAGGACCAGGUGAAGGAGCCCUGAAGUAGUGCAGAAAGGGAAGCAGAGGCCAGGAAGGCUGAGCCAGCCGGAACAGAAUAGGCAAGCGUAUGAGACACUGCACUUCCAUCUCAUUAAUCGUUUUUUCUUUUUCAUAUAGGGUCUCACUCUGUUGCCCAGGCUGGAGUGCAGUAACAAGAUCAUAGCUCACUUGGCCUCAUAGCCUUGGUCUCCAGGCUCAAGCGAUCCUCCUGUCUCGGCCUCCCUUCUAUGUAGCUGGGACUACAGGCACAUGCCACUACACCCAGCUGCUUUUUUUAUUUUUUGUAGUGGUGGGGCCUCCCUAUGUUGCCCAGGCUGGUCUUGAUCUCCCAGGCUCAUGCAAUCCUCCCAUCCAGGCCUCCCAAAGCGCUGGGAUUACAGGCAUGAGCCACUGCAUCCAGCUGCACCACCUCUUAAUAAACAUUAGUUUUGGCCGGGCACAGUGGUUCAUGCCUGUAAUCCCAGCACUUUGGGAGGCCGAGGCGGGUGGAUCACCUGAGGUCAGGAGUUCAAGACCAGCCUGACCAAUACGAUGAAACCCCAUCUCUACUAAAAAUACAAAAAUUGGCCGGGCAUGGUGGCGCACUGCUGUAAUCCCAGCUACUCAGAAGGCUGAGGCAGGAGAAUCGCUUGAACCCGGGAGGCGGAGGUUGCAGUGAGCCGAAACUGCGCCACUGUACUCCAGCCUGGGUGACAAGAGCAAGACUCUGUCUUAAAAAAAAAAAAAUUUCUAGUUUUGUUGAAGUUUAUUGCACCUUCCAGUAAGCGCACUUGGUCUCACGCGCCAGGUGACCUCUGCUGUUUCCUGUGAGGCCAUCUUCGCCUCUGUCUUCCUGGGAAGCAAACUGCACUGUCCUUACACAGAUGCUGGCUCGUCCAGGGUGCAGGGCCCUACUGCCCCAGCCAGGCCGACACCGUGGGCCUCCAGGCUGUUCCGUGGGUCUGGGGCAGGUCGCAAGACAGAAGGGAAAAGCUGCAGCUGGCCUUAAGACAGGAAGUCUAUGGGGACAGAGGGGAUGGGGGUCUUGAGGAUGACUCGGGCUCCUGAAGGCAGGGGAGGGAGGCAGGAGAGUGUCAGAGAGGCAGUGUUGUGAGGACCUCCAUGCCUGCUCUGAGCUGGGGGCCACACAGCCCUGCCUGCCCAUCCAGCUUUAACCCUGUGGACUGGCAACCCCCGACCCACAGAACAAGAGGGCGUGACUUCAGGCGACUCGAGCCACUGCAUGUGUGAUAACAACUAGAGCUGAAGGCCAGGGUCCCAUCCCUGCUCCAUCAUGACGGGCAGCACUAGGGCACCCUGCCGGCUUCCCUCCCGCAGGCCCUGGCCUCUCAGGCCCUCUCCACCGCCAGCAUCAUGGGGGCACACGCGCACCCAGGACUUGGACUGCCCUGAAUUCACGCAUCACAUCGAGAGGUGACAACUCCAUGACAAUAAGCCUGCUUUUGUGCUCGUAAAAAUCAAGUCCCCCAGGCCCGUGAGAGUCCUGGUUCUGUGGCAGUUUAUAAAAAGCAGGGCUUCAAGUGGACUUGCUCCCAGCCCAAGAAGAGCCCUGUCCGGCAGUCGAGGGUUGCUGAGAGCACGGGGGACUUUCAGAGGCUGCAGGUGGAGGAGGGUUGAGGUCUGAGGGCCUGGAACAGAGCUGGAACCAGCAGGUGUGUGCUGUCACUCAGGCACAUGCCCCAGUGAGAGCAUGUUCUGGCAGGGGGAAUGGACGUGGCCUCGGGGCAGGGCCGGCAGGAGCCUGGAGGUGGCCCCACAAGCCCCAUCGUCUGCCCACCUCAGGUCAGAGUCCGACAGCCCCAGAAGAGAGGGGAGCCCGGCAAGGCAGGCAGGGCUGGAGGCCUCAGGGCCACCUGUGUCUGCUGGUGGGGGGCGGGGGGGGUGCCAUGAGGCCGACCCUCCUUCCGCCAGGCUGAGGCACGUCCCCCGGACACAGAUGGCUCUUUGUCAGGGAUGAGCUGAGCUUGCUGAGCAGCCUCUGGAACAAAGCCCCUCUGUCCAUGCUGUGCCUCCCCACCCGGAGCACCACCUCCCGGGAAGGAGCAGAGCCCCGGGCUCCCAUCCGGCGCACCCACCAGGCACAGCCUUGGCCGGAGG
rnacentral:lncRNA from 1 species